UACGUAGGGAGCGAGCGUUGUCCGGAUUUAUUGGGCGUAAAGCGCGCGUAGGCGGUUUGGUAAGCCGGGUGUGAAACCCUCGAGCUCAACUCGGGGCGGCCACUCGGAACUGCUAUGACUUGAGUCUGGUAGGGGAACACGGAAUACCUGGUGUAGCGGUGAAAUGCUUAGAUAUCAGGUGGAACACCAGUGGCGAAGGCGGUGUUCUGGGCCAGUACUGACGCUGAGGCGCGAAAGCGUGGGGAGCGAACAGG
rnacentral:rRNA from 1 species